rnacentral:misc_RNA from 1 species
GUGUGGGGAAUGCAAGGAAUGAUUCUGUUUUAAGCCCAACUACUCGGAAUCUCUGGGCAAAUGGGGGUCUUAAUACUGCUGCUAGUCCUCCCAGCCCUGGUGCUUUCUUGGGUUCUGGAAGUGGAAGUUUUGGAGCUUCAUUUGGGAAUAGUGGAGCCAACUGGGGUCCUUCUCAUGUUUCGGCUCAAGGUGGAGGAAGUGCUUCUGGUUANNNNNNNNNNGAGCAUGGGUUAUGGGAGUGGUGGUGAUAGCAGCUAUGGGUUGGGAGGGGGUGGUUAUGGAAGGAGCAGUGGCACUGCUGCAGCACCAAAUUCAUCAUUUGCUGGGUCAACUGGUGUUUAUGAAGGGUCCUAUGGGGACUUGUACCGCAGUGGUUCAGCUUAUGGUGAUUCAACUUGGGGGCCUGGCACUCCUGAGCUAGAUGGUGUGGGGUCAUUUGGUUAUGGGCUUGGCAAUAUCGCUUCAGAUGUUACCACUAAAAGUUCUGAGGGUUAUAUUGGAAGUUAUGGUG